rnacentral:tRNA from 1 species
CGUGGGAUAGCUCAGCAGCCAGAGCGCGCGGCUCAUAACCGUGAGGCCGCCGGUGCAAGUCCGGCUCCCGCUA